GGCUGUUGCUAUUUUCUCAGGAGCAAUCAUUCCUGGAGCUAAAUCGCAAGAGCCCUAGACAGGCCGGAGCCGACAAAAAUGUAGCUUUUGACGUUAAAAGCUAAAUGGGGAAGCGGGGCGGUGGAAGGUAAAUUGAUGGUCGAUUGGGAUGUCAGGAGCCCUGGCCCCAGAUCGCUGCGCGGGAGCUGCGAGCCUGAUAAGGCCCUCUCUCGCUUCUUGGGACGUGGUCCUUUCGGGCAGCGACUCGCUGGGAACUGGGGACGAGCCUGGCAACGUCUCUCUCUCCCUCUCUAUCUGUAAAGUUCUCGCUAAGGUCAGGCCUGAACUUCUCCGUCGCCUUGUCCACCCCCCACUCCCUUCCCUGGGAUGAUAACCGCUGCGCAACCAGCGCUACAGGGAGGGAAGAGAUAGAGAGGCCUGAGAAAAAGAUCAGGAUCCUAUUCUCUCGCGUCGCCUCCUGGCUGGCAAUAAUAGCUUAAGAGGGCCGCAGCAACUAUUUGGUAGGUAAUCCGAGAGGGGAAAUUAAUGAAUGAGCCACAGCCAAGGAGAGAAUCUUCUGCAGCUGGUUUGGAAACGCGCAUCGCAGAGAGAACGAAGCGCCUGGAUGCAAGGCGGGAGUUUCACUGAAGUUUCUUUAAUCCUCAGUGAGACCCCACUCCCCUUUCUGCUAGGCGCGUUUGUUCACUUGAGAGUAAACAUGCAUAGGAUCGGGUUGGUAGCCUCCGUCAGAUCACCCUCGCAGAGCCAUCCCCCUGCAUGUUGACGCAGAAAUCUGGGGGGUUGUGGCGAGGGCGACUUUCGGCAGAUAAUUCUGCUCUGAUCCGUGGGACUUUUGCUUCCCAGCAAAUCUUCCGAGGAUGAGAUGCCACGCCAGGCUGCGGUCAUUAGCCUCAUGAUCCCGAAUACAUUUUUCGGGAAGCAAAUUGCCUCGAAAUAGCUUUGGUUUUCUGGCCCAGUGAAAUGGGAUCAGGAAACAGUCCACGUUCUACUUGAAAUCCCUGGUUGGUUUUUAUCGGCUGCGGAUCGCCCUGUAAGCCUGUCUAGUCCUAUGAUCACUUACUUGGGGGUAAAAACGUCCGAACCUGGGUUGCACCCCAUCCACUAGCAUUGGCGUGCGGCAUUAACUCCCUAGGGACUCGCUUCCAUGCAAAUGUAUUCUGCUUGUGGGCAACAGUUUUGCGAGAAUGGAAUAUACUUUUUUUUAAAAAAAGUGAUAGUAGCAUAUGCCAUGGUGUUUAAUGAUUUUCACAUACAGUAUAGCUCAUGGGUGUGUUUAAUUCUCCAUCAUGGCCUUCAAAACUAGCAUUUUGCCUCUCCUUUCCCUUACUAGCAUAAGCAAAAGAAUCGUGUUUGGAAGGCAUAUAGAACUUCUUCCUUAUUAAUGUGAAUUAUCUUUACUUAGUUUCCCUGUUUUGUUUUGAAAGGAUUAUUUGGAAUGGUUUGAAGUCUGCAGUACUCUGCACGCUUUCUUGAGCUCCAGCCUCGCGGGCCUCAGUGGGGCCUGCAGAGUUAACGCGCGCAGGAUUGGGGCCGUGGAAUCUACUGUUUGACUUCUUUAACAAGGCGGCCCUAAAAAGCGUUCAUUGAGAGAAUGAAGCCCCUCUGACUUCAGUCGGGUGAGCACCUCACAUAUGUGAACUCUGUUCCUUACCGUCACUUGUUUUAAAUAGGCAACUGGAGCUACGCGAGCUACGCUGGCUUCCAGAUUGCAGGGAGGCGCUCCGAUCCUAAACACAUUUGCUUGGAAUUAGCUCCCUUUGAUUUCAAUGGGACUUCACUUAUCUAUAAUGUCUUCAGUAUGGGGUGUUGCUCUCUCUACAGCUUCAGCCGUGCUGCGGUGAUUUAUUUUAAGAGCCCGCGAAAAUCGUUUAUUUGUGUAGGGGUAAACUGUAGGUUGGGAAUCCGAAGGUUUGCUUGUUUGGAAGUGGAUUGCAAUGAAAUAGGUGGGAAAUGCAAAGUUUUAGGAGGUCGGCCCUUGUUGGGAGCCGCCGAGAAUGCGCUAUUUGCUUUUCAUUUUCCUGCGGGGAAGCUUAAGCCGCAGUGCAUCACAGCCUGAAGAAGUGAAAAGAAUAACUAUCCACAGUAUUUACGUGCUGACUUCGUAUCCCUUUAGGUUCUGUUUAAAAGCUGCACACUAGAAAAAGGCCCUGAUUCAGCUGCGUGAAUCGGAUUUCAGAAUCUGCCAUCGAAGGCCUACCAACCAGUAUGUUUUGUUGUUGUUGUUGUUUGUGGCCAUCUUUUCGUCUCUCUCUCUCCAUCAACAUGCAAAGUUAUUUAAAUAUAUCUUACUUUAACAUUAACCUUUGAGCUACUUUAUGGACAAGAUGCAGCUCAGGAUAACUGCUGAGGUCCUGGCGCUCCGAGGUUAUUGUCCACGAUCUGGCGAAAGUCCAAAAUAAUACAGGCCCAUUCAUUUAUUUACUUUAUUCUUUGUUAAUUUUUUAUACCGCCCUUCAUCAGAAGAUCUCAGGGCGGUUCACAAGAUACAUAUAUAUUUUUUUACCAGAGAGGAAACCCUAUUCAGCAGAGUGGGUCUUCCUUCCAAAUCAACACAUAUUAGAAUUGUACUAUGUGUCUCUCCCAUUCAGCUUGCCCGGUCUUAGAUUUAAUAUGUAGAUAUAAAUGUGUGGACCGUUUGCUAUUUCAAUCCACACAAUAUAUUCCCUCUCCACGGCCUUCCGCUUUCACAGCUGGAAUAAAGUACCUGGAUUUCAUUCAAUGUACAACCCACAUCUUAGAUUUCCAAAAGUAACUUAAAAGCGAGCAUGUCCAAUUUGGGAUACCACUAUCCUUUCCACAUAUUUAUUCUUACAACUGUUGUUCCAAAUACAUCUGCUUGGAAGAGGUACCAUUCGUUUCAAAUUUGAAAUGCUUCCAAAUAUUUGGAAUAUAUGCUUCCAAAUAUAUAUUUUGUGCUCAAGAGGGCGCUUCAAAUACCCUAGGAAUGCAAGAUAAUGUUGAUUUGCUUGCAUGUUUACUACAGAUAGUUUCCUCCUGUCCACAUAUUUCAGAAUAGCUUGUUUUAGUAGUACUAGUUUAGUAGACACUUGUUAUUUUACUACUGAUUUACAUUUGCAUGGAAAUCAGUCUCCACUCGUCUGAACAGGGCCUACCAUUACCAAACGCACAUUGAAGCUCCGCAGUGCAAGUGAUGGGUUGGAAUAUAUUUAAUUACAGAGCAAAUUCUCUGAAAUCAGUAUUUCCCUCGGUUGAAAAUUAUCUUGUCUGCAUUGAAUCAGGGACUGUUUACACCAGCACUGAAACCUCUUUAACAGACUUGCGCCUGUGCAUGUUUGGCGGUGAUGAGGGACAGUUCUCAUGAACUAUAGGGUACCUUCAAUUGUAACAGACGAGCUGCGAGGACUUGGCUGAAGUCCUAUAGCCGAGAGGUAGGAAACAUGUGACCCACCAUUAAUUUGGCUCAUCAUACCUGACCAUCACCCACGCUGGCUGAGGUUGAUGGGAGUUGGAGUUCAACCACAAAUGGAGAUCUGCAGGUUCCUAACCCCGGACGAGAGGACUGCAGCCUAAUCUACGCAACGCACCCAUCGAUUACUAGCUGAAGUUCCCCUAAUCAUAGUUCAUGAGAACAACCCCCACCCCCAUCAGCAUCAGACACUCGCGGACAUACAUCUGUUAAAGGAAUUUCAAUGCUGUUGUAAACAACCCUUGUGUUCAGUUCAAUUACUUGGGCGUAAACCCUACUGAACUCAAAGCGAUUGCUGCUUAGAAGACGUCUAUCGGACUGAGUUGAUAAUCCAUGAAAAUUCCCCAGUCUUAAAGAUUAUACUUUAUGGAAUGGGGUGUAUGGAUGUAUUCCAGGAUUCCUAUAAUCUUACUUUUGUUAGAUGAUUAGGUAAAGAGGUCAGGCUUGAAAAAGAAGGCUUUUCGUUCCUUUCAUUCAUUCCUUUUUUCUUCGGUACUUAUUCCAAAAACAGCAGAUGGCGUUAGUAGUAGGAACUGGAAAGAAAACGUGUUAGGAAUUAAUAGACUGUAUUUCGAGCACUGGGAUCGAUCGCCCUUGUCGGUAGUUCUUCCGUGAGCUUUCUCUGUGUUGUGGAUUUGUCACAUGUUCCGUGGAAUUGCUCACUCUACCACCCCAACCCGGUUCCUGAAAUUUACAGCGGUUUUUCCUUCGAGCCAGAUAACGAUGGCGAGCCUCUCCGUCAAAGUUGGCGUCAGAAUGACGCGUGGAGCGUCUCGCUGGCCUCCUCUGGCUGCGAUCCGCAUGUCACUUGGGGAUCCCUAUAUGUGUAAGACCCAUGGAACUUCAGUGGGUUCUCUUCUGAGUGAGCACGGACAGGGGGAUCGCGUUUGCAAGACCCUACACUGUCAAACUAUUCGGAUUUCCUUACACCCUCCAGCCCCGCAGCCGUUUAAAACGUGCGUAUCAUUGAUUUUUACGCUUGUCUUUGACGCUUGGCAAUAAGUCCAGGAGAUUUGCAACAUUAAACUGCGAUCCCAGUUAUGCGUGGAAGGAGAUUCCGUUGAAAUAAAGCGAAUGACUUCCAAGUAAGGUUGCAGUCCAGCCCUACCAUGGGCGGUGGAAGUGCUUUUGGACUUGAAAAUUGGGACCUUUUUUAACUGGACUGUGUCUCUUUCCAAUGAAUGGAGCUGCCCUUGACAGUGGAAAAUAAACGGAUGGCCACGUUCCUGCCGCUGUUGUAACCUCUUCUGCGGUUAUAACUCAGGCUUAUCAUUCUCUCACGCUCUUCUUUCGGCUUUCCAGUCUAUGAAAUAUGUACACUCCCCACCCCAGCACCUUCAAAUCUUUUCCAUUUCUAAUUGGCCGAUUACGGUUCAGCUGUUUAAACCUCCCCCCCCCUUUAAUGGAGAUUAAAGCGCAAUGGUUAUCUGAAUUAUAUAUUCACAUAAAUUCUGAAGAGCCUCGAGAACGGGGCGGGGCGAGGUUAGAGACCUGUUCCUUUCAGGGAACUCUCUUGAGGGCCUGUCCUCUCUUCUCUCUCCUCCACCCCCGCCCUUCACCCCCAAAGGUAGCCACUCAAGCUGAGCGUCUCUCUCCCUCCCUCCUAUUCCUUCAGCAAUGCCACUGCUUUGAUGAUGGGCUCGCGCGGAGCCCUGUUUACAAAUUUAUUCUUAGGCACCAUAUAAGUCUUGAUAUUUGCUAUUAAGGACAUCUGGCAGUGAUUAGAACUCUCCUCUCUCCCUCCCUCCCUCCUGCCUUGCAAUGAGAGCCUCUAUGGACACCCUGACGUCAGAUCAGACGGCGAGGAGCCAUCCUGCUCAAGACUUGGGUGUAAUCACCAAGCCGCUUUCCAAACACCAGCUGAAGUUCCAGGCCACCAGCUGGAAUGCGAGGGGAUAUAGAGGAAGCCUUUCUUUGCUCUCUUUUCUUUCUUCUCUCCUAAUUCUGUCUUUUCAUCCAAGAAAACGUCGCGUUUUCUGAAUCCUUUUUGUCUUUUUGAGGUUUUGCAUGCUGAAUUCAUUUCGCUUUGCUGCAAAUCUCUUGGAAGGCGGGGGGAAACCUGAUGACCAGAUAAUGGAAGCACUGGAAAAUAUUUCCAAGGACCUGGGAAUGUCUGUCUUCUUAACCCUCAACAAUGGGCUGUAUCGAAAGUUACUUCGACUCAAAGUAGACGCAUUGAAAUUGAUAGACGUGAUUAAUUUAUGUCCAUUCCAUUCAGUGGUUCUACUCCGAGGAGAAGUUGGUUGGAUACAAUGGUGGCAAUGCUCUUCUCAAAAUUUGGGUCAUUUUCAGCUUGGAACUCUGCUCCAGAAUCAACAUAGAUGCCAGGGAUCUGCAGUGGACAGAACCAGAGGAAGACUUGGGUUGGCUGGGCUGCCACCUCAGGGGUCCACCAGGUUUCAAAACAGGGCUGGCAUAUGAUGCAUACUACUGAAGUCCCAUCAAAUUAUUUUGGUGUCUAAGGCAGAAGCGCCCCUCCCCCCAAGGCUCUUCCCCAUUGCUGACAUUGGGGGAAGUGCAAUGAUAAUAAAUUAAGCAGCAAGCAACUUGCUGCCCUUUCAUGAUACCCAAAAUAUGCUUGCCCAAAGCAGCUACCUCAAAUCACCUAAUGGUAGGACUGGCCCAGGUUUCACAAUGUAGCACAAACUUCGAUAUUUACAGCACAGUACUUUGCCAUAUCUCAUAGUCUGUUGGGCAUUUCCUGCACUUACUGAUCCUGAACACAAAAAUUACAAAGGUAUGGGUUGGGGAGGGUAUAGAGGAGUUCACAUUUUCUCACCAGAACCUGCUAUUGGGAGAUGGGUUUGCUGGUAUUCUUUUAACACAAACAAUCUCUUAGAAAUAAAAACAUCCUGAGAUCAUUUGUGUGUUAUAAAGGCUUCCAGUUUACACAGUGAAAUAUCUUCAUUUUCAAAUAUGUUGCAUUAGAGAGUGAGAUGGAAAUAUUUCAAUAGAUUUGCACAAUGCAAAUCUAGAGACAUACAUACGACGCAAUCAACUUGGUCAAAGCAUGGGCAGAGUGCCUCUUUUACACCCAUCUUUUUCUUUUUCUUUCUCCUCUGUUGAAGAAAGCUGAUCAGCUGCCCAAGUAAGAGGAGGAACAUAACUGAAGCCUACAGUGAUCUGAAACCCCCUUCAUUUUAUCCCCCCCCCCAUUUCAAUAGAUGUAAUAUACCCACCCCCGGUAGCUCAGUUGGUGGAGCAUGGUGCUGAUAAUGCCAAGGUUGCAGAGUCAGUCCCUGUAUGGGACAGCUGAAUAUUCCUGUAUUGCAGGGGGCUGAAAUAGAUGAUCCGCAGGAUACCUUCUAACUCUAAAGUUCUAUGAAUCCAGAGUGAAUGGGAUGCCUUUCCCCUUAAAUUUAAAUUGUCUUGCACAAAUACUAACUGCUAGAGAGGACAAACUGUCGAGAGGAUAACAGACUAGACAGACCUAUUCAUAGAUUAUAUAGCUGAACAUAGAUGAGCCACUUUCUUGUUUUGCUGUGUACCACUCUUCCACUCUGCACCAGAAGUAUCUGAAGAAAGAUUUGCCUAGAAGCUGCACCACUCCCUGGAAACUCUAGUCCAAGGAUUGGUAACCUCAGGCCCCUGUGGCUAAAUGUAGCUCUGCACCUCUCACCCUCCUGCACUAAAUCUAAAUGCAUUCUAUUAUAUACUGUACAUUAUUUCUUCCCAUCCAGGGUUCCAGUUCUCAGCUUUGCCCCAUCCACACUAUACAUUUAAAGCAGUAUCAUGCCACUUCAAGUAGUCAUGGCAUACUGCCUCCCAAAGAAUCCUGGGAACUGUAGUUUGUUAAGGGUGCUGAGAUCUGCUAGGAGAGCCCCUGUUCCUGAUAUCGAACUACAAUUUCCAGAACUCCCUAGGAAGAGCAAUUGACUCUGAGAAUUGUGAGGGGAAUAGGAGUCUCCUAACAGUUUUCAGGGCCCUUCACAAACUACAGUUCCCACCCGGGAUUAUUGCGGGGGUGCCACAGAUGUUUAAAGUGCGAUAAUCCUGCUUUGCACAUCUAAGAGCCGGUCCUGGGCGGAACUCUGUCUCAUAUCAAGCCCUCUUUCGCUCCUCAGGCUCCAGAUCCAAAAUCUAUUUCCCCUUCCCCAGGAAAGCAGCCUGUGAAACUUGCUCUAAGAGAUCUGUGGGGAUCCUUCUCGCGUUAGAAUAUCCCUCAACAAGAUUGUGCAGCAAGCGGAUCUUUCGAGUCGCCCUAAAAUGGUGGGACCGGGAAAGCGAGGCGGGGCGACCGAUAAUAUAUUCAGCAGAGGAGACAGAGAGAGAACCUUGGGUUUAUUUGUGCGCCGGAUUAAGGGAAGACGCCGAAGGCUGGCCAGGGGCCGAGCUUUGAUUGGCCUGAGAGACGAGAGGCUUUCGUUGCUGCAGCCAAUGACACGGCCAAGAUUCACUGUCUCCAAAAGGAAAGCCACAAUUCCUCGUUAAGCCAAGGGAGAUGAGGAGCUGAGGUUUCGGAUUCUGGUCCAACCACAUCCGAAAGGAAAACAUGGGGCGUUUGCGCUUUGACUGGGCGGGGGCGGGCGGACGACGAAAUAUUAUUUCCAAGUAUUGAAAUCAAGCAAGAAAGCAGACGUGAUAACUAUACCCAGACCCUAAAACAAAUUAAUUCGUAAAUAAAUCCUAAUUGGUGUCAACGAGUGUACUCCUAAAUAGGAGGUAUUAAAACGACAAUCGUUUCUCAGGAACUAAAAAUAUUUCGUCUUUCAAAGUUGGCAUCGCAACCCUAAACGCAAGAGAGAAGCGCUGCAAGCAACUACAUGGAUUUAGGAAUGGGUAGAAGGCUCCCUGGGAGGAAGCCCCAUUGAAUUCAGUAGGACUUGCUUCUGCGCAGACAUGAUUGUGCUCCGAGUCUUAUUCUUAAACGGCUGGUGUAACUUAUACCCUGAUCAAAAUGAAGACGUCAGGCACCUCUGCGUUUAUGCUUUGAGGAGACUAGAUGAGGAGCGCAGUUUCCCUCAAAAGACUACACAAAUAAUUUGCAGUUGGAGGAAUCCGGUGUCUGAAGCGAAAACUUUGGUGAUGUGCAUAGAAACUGGGAGAGGAUAUAUUUCUUAGAUAUCAUGCUUCCUUACGUAUGUGAGUUCAGCAGAGAGCAUCCCUUUGUCAGCAAAAAUAAGGAAACCGUUGAUAAAAUAGCUUUAGCCUUUUAAUUUUAAUCCAGGAUGCUUUGCUUACAGACUGAAUUUCUUGGUAUUUCCCCCUCCCCCCUAAAACAAUAAUCCCUCAAAACGGUCUUUUUAUAAGUAAAGUUAGACUCACUCAGUUUCACAGUAGCUGUCUUGAGGCAGGCUUAAAAUGUAGUAACAGACAUAUACUAUAGUUUAGAUUAGAAUUGGAGCCUGAGCUGCGGCUCAGCACAUGUCCUACGUCCCUAGUCAUUGAUGAAGCAUCAAAGAGAAGAGAUCAGAUAGCAGGGAUCAGAGAGAGCAAACCGCUGGGCUGUGAGCAGCUUAUAUAGGUUGUGCCCCUUUACCUGUCUGGACACAGUUGGGAGAGGCUCUCACCUGGAGGACUUCCUGUAGAGUAGACCUUGUGAGAUCCAACUUCCUCUGUGUGUGCCUUUCCAGUAAUCAGAAGUUGCUGGUUUUGACUUCCUUAUUUUAGAUAUCCCACAACAACUACAGAAAGAGCACUGGAGAACUGCAUUUAGCAAUGAAGAAUACACUUCCUUUCAGGACUGCAAUCAGAAAAAGAAUAUCCUGUUCACCGGAUGUAAGUCUCUCUGAAUUAUGUCCAGUUAAGCCGGCGUGCAAGAGUGUGCAAGUCAUACUCAAGAGUAGCUUCACGCAGAUCCAUCGAUUUCUAUGGGUCCACUGGGACUAUGACUCAGUUGGAUUGCAUUCUAAGUAUUUUACUUAGAAGUAAGUCCUAAAUCAGGCUGCAGUACUAGUCGCACACUCUCCCGGGAGCAAGUCCAUUGCGCACUGUGCGACUUCUGAGUAAAGAUGAUCAGGAAGCUGCCCGUUCAGUGAGGAAUUAAUCCCUAGUCAUUAAGCUUGAUGAGCCCACUUCCUUUGCAAUUACCUCACUGAACCCCCACAAAAGUUGUCGUCCCCCCCCGCCCCCGAGUAAAUAUGCUUAAACUGAGACGAAACUCCUGGGUGGGCCGAUCCUUCUUUAAGUGGGACAUUUUUAAAAAGUAACGGUGUAGAGGAUCGCGAACUUACUUUCCCAAAGCACGGCAGUUUUAUAUCGGAACGUGUGAAAAAGACAGAAUGUGAAAGAAAAAUGCCUGCGACGGUAGAUUUGGGGAGGGGAGAAGCGGUGAGAGAACUAUAUAGAAGGGAGCAAAGAGAGGAUGCUGCUGCUGCGUCCCAGAAAAUGAUGGAAGUCCUGAAUAAGCUAGUUAUUUGUGGUAAUAACAGUGGCAAUAAAGAUAAUAAGAAGCCACAAACAGCGCCCCACCUCUCCUCCACGCGAAAUUGUUAUAAUAGGGCGUACCCUUGACGGGUAGAACCAGAUCCGGUUGUGUGGCCACGGGAUCCUGCUCACGCCUAGGCCACAUUUUGCAAGUGGAGACCAAAGACCCACUGACGCCACAGCCUCCGCCCACUGAAGAAACACGUGGUUGUCAGGCGAGAGGGCGAUGUUGCUCCCAGAUCUCGAUCUCUCUCUUUCUGUUGUCUGUACCUUAAAACAGCUGGAGCCGGAAGCUUCUAACCCAGGCUAGCUUUGCCGAGGGUGUCCAUGGGAAAUGAAAGCAACAUUCUGUUGUAAGAUGAAACGCAUUUCUGCCCGGCCCACCCUUACAACAGAGCAUACAGCAUCAGAUGUAAUAUGCACGGAGAAGAAUGUUAUUUCCCCAACCCCAGCUUUAGGCAGCGUAGAUAGAAGAUCUUUUGUAAAGCCAAUGCGCCUUUGUCUUCUGUGCUGGAUUUAACUGUUAAGCUUGCUUCCCAAGUCAGUGUUGGCUGAGCCUGCGGACAUUAGCUUGUACACGUUGCCUUCAGAGCAAGGUUUGGGAAUCUGGGGCCCUGCAGAUGUUGCUGGAGUAGAAGUCACAUAACCCAUGGCCACUGGCAAUGCUGGCUGGGGCAGAUGGUGGAGUGCAACAAUACCACAGGGGUCCCUGCAGACCUUGCCUUAGAACAAGAGGUGAAGGAGGAGGAGGAGGAGUUUGGAUUUGAUAUCCCGCUUUAUCACUACCCUAAAGGUAAAGGGACCCCUGAGCAUUAGGUCCAGUCACGAAUGACUCUGGGGUUGCGGCACUCAUCUCGCUUUAUUGGCCGAGGGAGCCGGCGUACAGCUUCCGGGUCAUGUGGCCAGCAUGACUAAGCCGCUUCUGGUGAACCAGAGCAGCGCAGGGAAACGCCGUUUACCUUCCCGCCAGAUUACGUAUUUAUCUACUUGCACUUCAUGCUUUUAAACUGCUAGGUUGGCAGGAGCAGGGACCGAGCAAUGGGAGCUCACCCCAUCACGGGGAUUCGAACUGCCAACCUUCUGAUCGGCAAGCCCUAGGCUCUGUGUUAUCAAAGCUGCUAACAAUCUCCUUCCCUUCCUCCCCCACAACAAACACUCUGGAAGGUGACUGAGGUUGAGAGACUUCAGAGAAGUGUGACUGGCCCAAGAUCACCCAGCAGCUGCAUGUGGAGGAGCGGGGGAUGUGAACCCAUUUCACCAGAUUACGAGUCCACUGCUCUUAACCACUACACCACGCUGGCUCUCCCUUCUCAUGUCUAUAAAGGGCCUUUGACCCAAGGUUGGUGGAGCAUUCACCGUCCAUCUUAUGGACAUGGUGCAACCUACCAUGAACACAACUGAAGACCAGGACCUUAAUUUCAAUGCCUUGCAGACAGAUCCCACCAUAGGAGCCAACUCCUAGGGGCUGAUAAAUAAAAUAUUUGAGGGGGCCAACCAUCCCAAAGUUGAUGGGCAUACUGAUGCCAGAUUUACGUAUAAGCUAAACAAGCUAUAGCUUAGGGCUACACUCUCUUGGGCCCCCCCCAAAAAUUUAAAGGGGAAAAAACUGGAUGUGCAUUUCCAAAAUAUAAGCUAAAAAACACAUAAAAUAAAACCUAUAUACAGCAACAGUGUUUUGUCUUGUGUAGGCUCCUGUGAUGUAAGUAAUGGGCCCCGCCUGCUAGUCUGCUCCCUAAAAUAUCACUAGUUUGCUCAUUUCUAUAUAUAGGGUGCCUACAUUUUGCCAGGACUAGUUGCAUGGCAACAUGUGCAAAUGGCUUUAGAUACCUAUUAAGUCCAUAAAUUACCAUAUAGCAUAUAUUCAACACAAAAAACAGCGACAAUUUGUUGUUGACAAAGGACAGCUGGACAUAUAAAGGGCCCCAAUACCUUCAGUACCUUAGGGCCUCCUCAAACCUAAAUCCGGCCCGGGGCUGCAUGCAUGGGGUGCAUGCAUGAAUCAUGUAAUUGAUUAUGUGAGGCAGGGGUUACCUGUCCCCCCCUCCAAUAUUUUAUUCAAGUUGGCACCCCUGGAUCUCACUGACUUUCACUUUGAAGUAAAACUUUUCCCAUUCAAAAGCUCUUAUAUCGUGGGCUUCUAAAUAUACAUGGAUGGGAUUACGCUGUUGACUGGCUGAAGAAAAAAUGAGAUGGGUGGGGCAGCGCCCUAAUGGAUCGACCUCCACUGACCGUUGGGCUGCAAUCCUGCAAGUACUGUACUUUCCUGGGGGUAGGCUUACUUCUGAGUUGCUCUGUUAAGAGUUGGAAGAGCGGGGUCGAGGACAACUUCCCAGAUCGCGCAUGCGCAGAAAGGCCUUUCCCUUCCUCCCCGCCGGCGCUUAUAGGAUUUCCAGGUCCGACGGAGCGGGUUGCCAGGCAGCUCUUCUCUUCAAGCUGAACCAGCGGCUUCUGCCGGGAGCCAGGCGAGUGGCCUGGCUGGAAGAACUCCCCUCUCCGGAGCCAGCCACCACGUCUGGUUUUCAUAGAGCCGCGGCAGCAAUUACCUCAAAGCCGUAACUGUCUCCGAAAUUAUUCAUUAAAGUCAUUCCGAGGAGCCCCAGCAAAGCCCCGCUUGAAGUUUAUGGCCUUUGGUGGCCUUGAAACAUGACAUUGCCCUUCAACAGCUAGCGUCGGAGGGCUCUCUGCCGCCCUCUCUUCUUAAUCUUCCCCCCGCAAAAAAAAGUCAUAGAUCGCCCCCUCCCACACACAGCCCCUUCCCCUCUUUUGAAGGUGGCGGUGCUGCUGCUCGCCUGACUGACCAACUUGCCUCCGUGUGUGCGCGC